GGGGAUAUGGCUCACUGGCAGAGCAUUCACCUACCACGUGUGAGGCCCUGAGUUCAAGCCUCAGCACCACA
rnacentral:tRNA from 1 species